rnacentral:rRNA from 1 species
UACGAAGGGGGAGCUAGCGUUGUUCGGAAUCACUGGGGCGUAAAGGGCGCGUAGGCGGCUUUGACUGAAGUCCGGGGGUGAAAGCCUGUGGCUCAACCACAGAAUUGCCUUCGGAUACUGCAUGGCUUGAGACCGGAAGAAGGUAAGUGGAACUGCGAGUGUAGAGGUGGAAAUUCGAUAGAUAUUCGGCAAGAACACCAGUGGC